GAUGAACGCUGGCGGCGUGCCUAAUACAUGCAAGUCGAGCGAACGGACGAGAAGCUUGCUUUUCUGAUGUUAGCGGCGGACGGGUGAGUAACACGUGGAUAACCUACCUAUAAGACUGGGAUAACUUCGGGAAACCGGAGCUAAUACCGGAUAAUAUUUUGAACCGCAUGGUUCAUAAGUGAAAGACGGUCUUGCUGUCACUUAUAGAUGGAUCCGCGCUGCAUUAGCUAGUUGGUAAGGUAACGGCUUACCAAGGCAACGAUGCAUAGCCGACCUGAGAGGGUGAUCGGCCACACUGGAACUGAGACACGGUCCAGACUCCUACGGGAGGCAGCAGUAGGGAAUCUUCCGCAAUGGGCGAAAGCCUGACGGAGCAACGCCGCGUGAGUGACGAAGGUCUUCGGAUCGUAAAACUCUGUUAUUAGGGAAGAACAUAUGUGUAAGUAACUGUGCACAUCUUGACGGUACCUAAUCAGAAAGCCACGGCUAACUACGUG
rnacentral:rRNA from 1 species